rnacentral:lncRNA from 1 species
AUGUUAAAGAUGAUUACAUGGAAGCUACACCCAUCAGUGCACCGCCUGGCCCCGAGAACCGGGAUGACGUCGAGCUGGCUGACUAGCAACAAGAUGUCUGAGCAAGGUGCUGCAGUUGCUGUUUCAACCAUGGAGGCUUCUAAACCGGUCUCCAACUUCCCCAAGGGAGCACCGAAAAGUUCAGAAGAGAAUUUCUGCUAUAGGUGUGGUGAGAGCGGACAUUUUGCCACAAAGUGCCGCAACCCUGAGAAUCAAGCCAAGGUUAUCAGAAAGCUAAUUCAUGCUUUAAAGGUGACAAAAGACAAACAGCAGUCUGGUGAUGCCACCACCAGUGAAGUUAACUGUGGGGUUACGAAAAGUGCUGUUACCUCAUCAGAGCCGGCUGGCAUCCCUGAAGGCUUGAUUGGUCCACCCAGUAUAGUACCAGUGAAAGUAAAUGGACAUUGCUGUGAUGCCUUGUUUGAUAGUGGCUCUCAGGUCACCAUUAUCUUUGACUCUUGGUAUCAAACUUACCUGCCUGAUGUCCCAAUACACCCCGUGUCUGGUUUAGCCCUGUUGGGGCUAAGUGAAUCUGAUAUCAGCUAUCCCUACUGUGGGUAUGUGGUGGUCGAUAUGGAAUAUCCAGCGAAGGUUGCAGGUGCCGACCAGACAGUGGCAAUCCUCGCUCUCAUCUGCCCCCAGCCCCGAACUGCAGACCAGACUCCUGUCAUUGUGGGGACCAAUGCCAGUCACAUCCGACGUCUUGUGCAGCAAUGUAGAGACAAUGUCAUUGACGUCACCCAGACACUGGGGAUGCUAGCAUGUUGCAGAGAUAACAAUGUAACAUCACCUAACACAGCCACAGCCCUGGAAGAGGAGGAUGAUAUUGGCUGUGUGUUAUGGCAAGGCCCUGGCCCACUGACUCUGCCCCCGGGUGGUGACUGUAGUGCAGUCUGCAAAGUCGAGUACAAGCACCAGGUCGACAAAGAAAUCCUGAUGGUUGACUCGUCGCCUGUAGCUCCACUCCCAGCUGGUGUGCUACUUCAGCCCAUGGUGGUGCCCAGCGAAGAAGUGAAGACACAGUUGAAGUUAGUAUGA